UUAUGAUUAAUGUGAUAAUUUUUCAGAUGAUUGAUUUUCAUAGAUUGUCAUAUAAUAAUCUGACUAGAGCUGCCCUGAGAAGACAGCAGGUUGAAGAGCAAAUGGCAUGCUUUCUGUGUUUUUGAAGGCAUCACCUACUGCAGCUUGUUGUUGCCUCCAGGUCUUGCCCGCAUCACCAGGGAGUCUGGAGUCUCUUGGAUCCGUUCAAGAUUCCAUUUAUUUCCAAAGGAAGUCCAGAAAUCACUGUAAAUUCAGUACAAAUCAGUGAAGAAAAGAGUGACUAGGAAUGUGUCUUUUUCAUAUAUGAGAAAACAAUGAGAUACAGUUUGGAUGCAUCCUACCAGCAGAUAUAUACACAUCCUAAUUUAAUUAGAUUGUACUAAUUUAUACUUGAUUGACUGCUACCUACUUGACUUGAGCACAUCCUAAAGCAUAAGUGGCUACCAACGUUCCAGCUGGUGACUGGUAGUCUAUAGAACUAUGUUUAUGAUUUCAUCUAUAUCAAUGUUGAUUGUCCACUCCUUUUCAUCAUGGUUUUGGAAGGAGAAUGUGCUGACAAGGAACUCCUAGUCCACUUGUGUAAAAUUUUCUCUUGUAUUUGGUUUUUAAGAAAGGAGUAUCUGUUUUUUAACUAAAUUUCAAUGAUUUGUUUUGACAGUUACUUGGUGUUUUGUGUGUGUGUGUGUGUGUGUAGGAUUCCUCUAUUUUAUGUUCUUGAAGUAAUCCCUUCUUAAUCCUCCUCUUACUAUUUAUCUUCUUGCUUUGUGGUUUGGGUGACACAUCGUGGUUGGCAUGUUCUAAUGUACAUCAGGAUCUGUAUAUCCUUUCCAAAGGUUUUUCUUGUUUGUGAUCUUAGCCUAGGCAGGUACAAAUCCCUUCAGUUUAGGAAGCACUACUUCAAGCUUAAAAUCAACAGUUUGAAAUGAAACAGUAUUUUUUACUAUGUUGGUUCUCGAAAGAUUCAGGGGCAUGAGAAAGUGCUAAGGGAAGAUGUAGGAAAAUACAAACAGGGUUAUUUAUUUAUUUAACCAAUGAACUGCAGUGAGAUUGGUAGCCUCAGCUUCAUGAAUGGGAAUUUAUCACUGGACAAUUACUGAGGGAAAAAUAUCUAUGGUGCCCAUUCUCACAAAAUUACUGAUAACUUUGGACUGAGAAAAUGUGUACAGGCAAGGUUGUUUAUUAUGACACUUCCUUCUCUCUAUAUAGACUUUACUGACUUUUACUUCUAGUAAUAUAUGAAUGAAAAAUUAAAGAUUAUUCUAGAUUUG
rnacentral:lncRNA from 1 species